CGGCUCCUCCUCCUCCCGCGGCCAAUAGGAGCUCGCCCCCGGCCCCUCCGCGCCUCCCCAUUGGCCGCCUCGCGUGUCCGUCAGGGCGGCGCAGCUGGACGGGUAGCUCGCUCCCCCGGCGCGGCUGGACGGCGCGCACCGGCCCGGUGUGGGGGGGGUCGGGAGGUGAUACUCCCCUGGGAUGAGGUCGGGAGUGCAGAGAGCUGGAGGAGAGGGCGGUGUCCCGCGCCGCGUUAGACGGAGGCAGAGACCGGCGGGACCCACUGCAGCUGCAGCAGAGGGGAAGGCGUGCUCAGGGUCACUUUCCCCCACAUCAUAUCUACAUGAGCACCCCCCCACCAGCAGCUCCAGCUGGCCCCACACCACCUGAAAUGGGAGCAGAGGGACAGCGCUCGUCUCACCCCAAAUGCCUCUCUGGUCCGGGUCCCGCUGGCCCAGCAGCACACUCAAUCUUGGAUUCACAGCCCGUGCUGUCCAGCCCCAGACAAAUGACAUGUUUGUUGGCACAACGUCAGGGCCAGCCAGAAUUAUGCUGCAGAACGGUGAGAUGGUGUCCAGGGAGGGGGGGACGCAAACCCUGCAGCCCUGUGCACCACCAGGGCAGCCCCCUGCGAGCCCAGGGCACAUGGGCACAGCAGGCCCGUGUGUCACCAAGGCAUGGGUGGCAAGGGAGAGGGCUCCAUUGAUCCCCCACGUUUCUGAGAAGGGGAUGGGAUGGCACUGCCCCUGCAGAGCACAGCCUGCUGCCAUACACACAGCGCUCACGUUCGCAUUGCAAGGUGGCACCCUCAGAUCAAACAAUCCAACUACACGUGUCCAGCCCAGCACAGCUGCUUCUGAUCCCAUUCUCUUUGUAUCCCGAUAACAUGCAGAUGGCCUUUGUGUGUUGUUCUGUUUAUUUAAAUGGAUUGGGAACAAACAUUUUUUUAAAAGCUGAAGCUUUGAGCCUGUAAGUGGGUUACCAGAUUAUACGCCGUCUCCAUUUUAAUUACAUUUGGCUCAUUUUGUUUAUUGCAUACAUUUUCAAGAAUUAUGCUCGUCAUGAGAAUUGGAAGCACUUUGCUUUAGCACUUUACCUGCCCUAUAAAGGGACCCAACAUCACACACAAGAGACCACGCACACCUUUCUGUCUCUAAGAGCACUCUCCUUCCAGCGAGGGCGGAAAAAGAAGAAAGGCUCCGUGGAGCCGCAUAUCCUCUCCAUUUGAAAGGCAACAUCUGAGCAUCGGGAGGAUGAAGGCAGCAGCAGCCCAGCAGGGUUUGGGCAGCUGUGUGCCACAACAGGCGAAAGGGCAGCGGUGCUCCCUGCUGUCCCCACGCCCCACUUCUGUAGGGCAAUGCCUACAAACAAAAGCCACCGACAAAGCCAUUGCCCACAGCCAGGACACGGUCCUGCCCCAUCCCUGAGCAGCACCCAGGCACCACUCACAUCCUGCUAUGGUGAACCAGGAGAGGAGCGAGCAAGGAGAAGGUAUGCAGCUCCAGCCCAGCCAGGAGCAUGGAAAGCAGCAGAAAUGACCCCAGCAAGCAGAGGUGCACGCUGAGGGACCUGGGAUGUAAAUGAGAAGAAAUUUCAG
ensembl:lncRNA